rnacentral:rRNA from 1 species
UACGGGGGGGGCAAGCGUUGUUCGGAAUUACUGGGCGUAAAGGGCUCGUAGGCGGCCAACUAAGUCGGAUGUGAAAUCCCCAGGCUUAACCUGGGAACUGCAUCCGAUACUGGAUGGCUUGAAUCCGGGAGAGGGAUGCAGAAUUCCAGGUGUAGCGGUGAAAUGCGUAGAUAUCUGGAGGAAUACCGGUGGCGAAGGCGGCAUCCUGGGCAGUUGCUGACACUGAGGCGCGACAGCGUGGGGAGCAAACAGG